CAGGCAGGAACAGUAGUGCUUGACCUUUUUGGAUACAUUUUCUCCUGACUUGUUGUAUAAGAAAAAGAAAGAAUUUGACCAGGCUUGACCUCCCAGGAAUCUCUAGUGCCAUGACCCAGUUGCUCCAGCCACAAUUACUUUCUAGCUGUUUUUGAAUACUCUCUCUCUUUUUUUGCUUUUUAGGGCCACACCCACAGCAUAUGGAGGUCCCAGUCUAGGGGUCGAAUCAGAACUACAGCUGCUGGCCUAUGCCACAGACACAGCAACCCCAGAUCCAAGUCACAUCUGCAACCUACACCACAGCUCAUGGAAAGCCAGAUCCUUAACCCACUGAGCGAGGUCAGGGAUCAAACCUGCAACCUCAUGGUUCCUAGCCGGAUUCAUUUCUGCUAUGCCACAACAGGAACUCCUGAACACACUGUCUCUUAUUUCUUAUCUUUAGACAAUGCGGCAUUUGUUAUUCCAUCUUUCAGGAAUGGUUAUGCCCUUUUCCGCCCCUCUAAAACUUCAAUUCAUCCUUUAAGACCCAAGGCCCCCUUUUCUAAAUUCUCUCAUGAAGGGUUACCUACUCUACCUGCAAUCCCACAGACCUGCCUUCAUACUUUCCUCUUACACCUAAAACCCUAAAAUAACCAAUCCCCAGAUCUGUAUCCCUUAGUGUCCUGUGAUGAGCUGAUGUACAAGAAUCCUGCCUUUCUCAUCUUUGUAGUCUCAGUAUUUAGAAUAAAGGAUGGCACACAGUAAACCUCUAAUGAGUGAGUGAUUCAGCCACCCUGAAACCAGCCUGGCAUCUGGUUGAGACUGCAGUGUGAAUGGCAGCUGCCUCAAGAUGAAAUCAUUGCACAAUUCUCUAAGACCUUCCUUCCUGAAAGUUGAGCCCAGAGAAGCAGAGACUCUGCCAUGAUUUGAUCCAGGCUUUUCCCCUCAAUUCAGCCUGCCCAAUUGCUUACCCCAUCUCCCCUCAUGAGCUGGUUAUUUUCUAUCAAGUCUCUGCUCCAUCUUCUAUUCUUCAACCCUCUCUGCCCUGUUUUGUGACCCAGAAUUCUGAUGCCUGUGGGUAGCUUUGUGAGAGAUUCUUUGGCUUAUGGCUCUGAGCUAGGUUCUGCCAAUUGGAAGCAUGGGCAGGAGGUCAUGGGGCAGGAAGGAAAGAGGCUGGGGUAUUUCUCUCCCUCUCCCAUUCUGCUUAGAGCCUCCUCUGCAGCAGCUGUGCCCACCCAGAACACUCUGAGAAGUGGUUUAAUCUGAUGGUUAGAACUAUGAGGUGUUUACUUUUGUGCAGCAUGUUGGGGCUGGUUUGGGGCUGGUAGUGAUGGAUAGAUAGACAGGAGGAAGGGAAAAGGGACAGAACAAUGGGGGAAAGGUGGGUUGAUGGAUUUUUCAGUCUUGCAUCCAUUUUCUGGUGGUCAUGCAGAUCUGAGCCUCUAUCUGUUCUGGCAGGCAGCACAGUCAAGUGGAAACAGAACUAGUGGACAGAGGACAGAGUGGGCUGAAUUUAAGCCAUACUCAAUUAUGGGCUGGGAGUUGUUCAACUUGGGCAAGUCACAACCUCUUUGAGCCUCAGUUUUUGAAAUCUUUAUAAUGGGAUAACAUGACUCCUUACACAGUAAAGAGAAUGUCAUGAUGUUAAAAUAUGUGAGUGAGCUGACCACAGUGUCCCAGAGCAAAAGCCAAAUCAAAGGCAGUUUUUUUCUUCUCUGGCUCCUGAGUGAUGAAUAGAUGGAGUGAAUGAAUGAACAAACAAAUCCUCUCUCAACAAAUCUUUUGUUCUAUCUUCGGUUGAGCUAAAAUCAGCCUUCCUAUAACUUCUACCUGUUGGACUUAGACCUGCCUUCUGGAGCCAAACAGAAUAAAUCAACUUGCUCUUCUAAAUGAAAACCCUUCAAAUAUUCCUGUUUAAUAAAUUGAAUAAACAGACUCCACUUUAAUAAAUUUUCCCCAGGCCUGCGGGCCUUUGCAAGGCAGGCAAUAUAAAUGAAGAUGAUGUCUGCACAUGAAAUGCUUUGUGGACCACAUGACUGCCACUCUGCCCAGAGGUGGAGGGGAGGUGGAGGAGGCUCAUUUUAGAUGAACCAGCAGUGCUCGUCUCACAUACAAGCUUUGGCCUUUCUAAACCGUGCCUAGAUAUCAUACAUCUUGACUUUACAAAGGACAUCAUGCAUAUUUAAAAAUCAAUCCUUUCUUUUCCUCUUGUGUAUUUCUUCUUUGUUUAUUUAUUUCAAAUAUACAGAAUACCUACUCUGUGCCAUGCACUCUGUUAAGCUCAUCCCAUGCAUCUCUCAUUAUCUCAUUCAGUCUUUAAGGGAGGUAUAAUGCCAAGAUCCCCAUAGCACAAAUGAGGGAACUUUGACUCUAAGUCAAAAAUUGUAUCCAGGACAUCUAGUGCUACAAGGAACAGAGCUGAAACUUGAACCCAGGUAGGUCUGUCCAGUGAGUUCUGCUACAUAAUGAUAUCUAUGGAAGAACAGGGCAGUUGAAGGAGAAAGCAACACACACAUAACGCGUGCGUGAGUAGACACACACACACACACACACACACACUGCUUUGCAGUAGGUCUUGAAGGAUGUUUGUAGGCAAAGAGGCAGCAUCCUGAACCAAGGGGUGGAGAUGUUUAAGAAUCUCUCUGGUCUCAGGGAUGGUUAGUAGUUUGAUGUACGUGAAGCACAUGAUACUUAGCUGAGGCUGGCAGGAGAUCAGGCCAGAUAGGUAGGCUGGGACCCAAGUGUGAAGCACAGGAAUGUGACACAGAUUUAAGGAGCCUGGGCUUGAAACAGUGGCGAUGAGGUGUCUGAGGGAGCAGCGAUCACUAUUCCUCAGAGGUUUAGGACCGAUUUUAUUGACUUCCACGCUCAGUGGCCUGGCUGCUCACCCACCAUUACACUGCUGUCACUAUUGGAGCUCAGGGAUCAUUUUUUUAGGUUCACCUAGGACUGGUUAAAAGCAGAUAUUCAGCUUUUAAAUCACUAGAUGGGAGACAAAGUAGGAAGAUGAGAUAGCCCAUAUAAAAAAAAGACAGGAAACAAAGGAAGCCCCAAGAAAGUAAAAAGGAGAGCAAGCAUAAAACAAAAAGACAGGAAUAAGACCACACCUAUCAGUUAUGACAGGAAAUAUAAACGGUUUAAGUCUCCCCUAAUAAAAGAUAAAGUCCUUCAGAUUGGUUUAAAAGCAAAAUACCACCAUAUGCUGCUUAUAAGAGAUGGACAGUAAAACAAAAACAAGAAAGAAGUGGGGAGUGGGAAACUGGGCAAAUAUUUAUCAGGCAUGAAAAGCAAACAAAAAGAAAAAGUCACAGUUGGCAACAUUUCAAAGUAGAAUUCAGGGAAAAAAGCAUUAUAGGAGACAAAGAAUUUUAUUUUAUAAUUACAAAAGGCUCAUUUGACAAUAAAGCAAUAAGAAGUGUGCUGUUACAUAACGGCAACAUAUAUAAGCAAAAACUCUGCAAAAUAUAAGGAGAUGGCCCUGAUAGAAAUAACUGUCUUGAAAUUGACUUUAACAAGAAAGACAAAACUAGAUGCAUACAUAAGUUUAUUAAAUUAUGUAUCCAUCUCUAAAAAUUGCUAAAACUAACAAUGUUAUAGGCACUGUUCUAAAUAUUUGCAUAUUUUAUUCUCUCAUUUAAUUCUCACAAUAACCCUGUGAGUUAAGAAAUUAUUAUUCCUAUAUUAAAGAUAAGAAAACUGAAGCACAAGGAGGCUAACCAAUUUACCCAAAAUUUUAAAACAACUGUGUUGUCAUAAGAGAUUAAGCCUGUUCUAAACUGAAACAGGUAUUCCCAGAGCCUGCCCUUUCAGCUAUUAUGUUAAUCUCAAAGAAAGAACUAUGGGCUCAGUGGUUAGCAAAUCCGACUAGCAUCCAUGAGGACAUGGGUUCAAUCCCUAGCCUCGCUCAGUGGGUUAAGGAUCCAGCAUUGCCAUGAGAUGUGUGAAACACUAACCAUAUCCAUCAGGAGGAACCUCAGGGAAGUAACAUCUGGAUAACUAAGAGCUCUGAAGACAACAGAAAGAUAUGAGGAAAAGCAGACUAAGUAGUGGUGAUGGGGAUGAUGAUGACAGCUAACAUUUAUCCAGGGCUUUCUGCGUGCCAGGCAGUGUUGCAAGCACUUUACAUGUAAUACUUCAUUUUAUCCUCACAAGAACGCUUAGAGUCAGAUAUUAUUUAAACCUCCAUUUUUUAGAUGAUGAACCUGAGCUCGAAAAUGAAGCCAUCUGUUAUGGCCAUAUAUCUAGAAAGUUAAAGCACAUGGAAAAUAUAAGAUGGGUUUAGGUGAGAAUUAUCCAUUCACUCAUCUUCCAUGUAAGAGCUGUGCUAAGUAGUAGCAGCAUGUUAGAAGUUGGAUUUGGGCUUGAGAGACAAAAGUUUAAGGUUUGAUAAAGUUAAGGUCACUAGUCAAAAUAAAAGAAUUUAAAAAUGAUUGCAGUUUUCUCAACAUGGAGUCACAGAAGUUCAUAUAGGAAAAGAUCUUAGACAUUACCUGCUUCCAGGUUCUUACUUUACCAAAGGAGAAAUUGAAGCCCAGGUAUGGGAGGUGACUACCUCACUGACAAACAACUAUUAAGUGACAGAACAAGUUCAAAAUCCUAGAUAUAUUAACUCUUACUCAUGCCACCUUUCCAAACUAAGCAGGACAAAUGAAACGUACUGCAUGAUUAGGGAGUUGAAUACGGGUUGCUUUUGUGGAAGUGUCGAGAUCUAUUGCUGACCCACCUAUUCAAGUCUUAUUGACAAGUAUUUAUAUAUAUAAUAUAUGAGACAAGUAUUUAUACACACACACACACACACACACACACACACACACAUCAGAAUCUAAGAGAGCUUUAGGAAUUAUUUGUUUACAUCCCUAUUUAAAAUACUGGGAAACUAUGGCUCAACAUAUUUAAAUAACCUGCCCUGGUUUCCUGGUAGCUUAGAGAAUUUCCAUUCCCAUAGUGAAUUUAACACCCUACCUGAUUUAGCAGCACUAAAAGACAACUGUCUGUACAGAUGAACUCCAAACCA
rnacentral:lncRNA from 1 species